rnacentral:lncRNA from 1 species
UGAACCAAUCUCAUCGAUCACAACAGCAACAGAUCCACAUCGCUUUCGCAAGGCGGUUUGCCCUCGCGCUUCUUCUGCUCCUCUUCGCGCUCGCGGCCGUCUUCAACGUUAACGCGGCCCGAUCCCUUCCGGGCCAGCAGCCAUCUGAGGCCGUGUCGACGGCGGGCCAGGGGCCGGCCCAGCUCCGCCAGCCCGCCAUGCUCCCGGAGGUUGAGCCGGUGCCUGCGUCUGCAUCGCCCCUUGUUCAGUUCGGCGAUAGCAUGACCGUUUACCAGGAGAUUCUCGAACAUUGCGGCGUGAAUCAGAAAUCCAACACGUUACCUAGUUUUGACGACGGACCGGCAAUCUGCAACAUGCGAUCGAAAAGGCCAGUGCGCACAGACUUGGUGUGAAUCUCGGCGGCGGAUCAGAGAAGGACGGGCCCCUGCUCAUCUGAUGUGUAAAGCUGCUAGUACAUCGCUCCAAGGCUUCGGCAAUACUAAUAGAACCCCGUUUUUUUUUGCAAGACAAUAGACUAGUAGUACAACCUUGUUUUCUGUAACGUGUGUAAAGAGCCUACAGGCUAGGGUCGGCUGAUAAUCAAAAGGGACAUUUUUAACGCUAUAUACAAGAAAAGAAAUCUGAUUCUGUAAAACAGCAAACAAAUAUAAAACUGAAAUUUGAACUUUAAAAAAGAAGAAGAGUCGUUUCCUUGUAAAGAAAUACAAACAAACCAGCCUAAAAAGAAUCCAUACAGAAGGCCUGCUAGGAAAAAGCCCCCCUAAAAAUCGAGAAAUAUAAGAAGGCCCACAUCAGCACAUAACCAAAACAAACAAAAUAAGGCCCAGAGAGGCCCAUUCAGUUUCACACAACACAAACAGCCUUCUUCUUUUUUGCGAGAAAAACACAAACAACCGUAUAGGAGUAAUUGAUGUAAAUCGGUUGAUCUUCCCACGAGUGAAACCCUAGCCGUCAGAGAAAAAAAACCCCGUUUCCAUCUUUGUUGGUUCCCCUUGCCUCUGAUAACCCAUCAGGAGGUGAGGGGAACCACGGAUCAACAUCUGGAAUCGUUUUUAGUACCUUCUUUGUAAGGUUUUCCGUGUCCUUGGUGGCGGCGUUCCAACAGUGGAGGCGGCGACGUGUGGAUUAUUGGUCUCCCAGCUCCAUCGAUCCCCGUUCUGGCAUGGCUAUCAUGGUCUACUCCAUGUAGUAUUGGGACUCACGGCUCGUAAUUUCAUGAUUUUGGUCAUCUUCCUUAACGUUUCAGCGAUGAUUCAAUGGUUCGACAACCUGUCUUGUGAGGGGCGUGUCUCCGGCCACCACGGUUCAACGAUAUUAAGUUGAUAAGUUCUCACCUGUUAGGAUGGGCGGCUCAUGCGGCUCAGUAAAACCUAUAAGGUUAGUCCAGAUUAUGUAGGUUUGGUCUUGUACUGUUUCGUCACCAUAGAUUUGGAAAAACAUCAAGAUGCGAUUGACGCAACUAGAGAAGUUGGGUUCAAAGAUUUUUGAUGUAAAGUUGUAAACCGAAAUCUUUGUUGUCGUUUUAGUUUUUCAAUCAAUUAUACUACGUUCGUUGAAUAAAUAAAGUCAGAUCGUUGUUCUAAAAAGAGAGUAAUGGAUGUCGAAUAAAUUAUAGAUAAUUAUAAAACUAAACGAAGAUAAUAUUUUCAAAAAAGAAGAAGAAGAAGAUAAGAUUUUAAAAAAAUAUCGGUUUCUUGGCUCCUGCCUUCCCAGAAGCGGCAAACAGACACCGACCGAUCGAGUCCCCAACCACACCCUCCACAUAUACUCCCUUCAUCCAACAAUAUGGGACGUAUUAGCUUUUCUUUAACCAAUGCUUUGACCACAAAUUAUUCUAUUAAUAUAUAAUUAUACCACAUAUAUUCAUAUCCAUUAUGUACCUACUCAAGAAUAUUUGCUUAUGGUUAUGAUUCUGAUCACAUUAGUCACACAUUCAUGAAAUAAUUUGUGAUCAAAUGCUUGGUUAACCCAAUCAUAAUAUACCUCCUGUGGCUGGACGGAGGUAGUAACACGCAACAAGCAGCCCCAAGAACCGGAAGGCGAUCGAGCUUGCGCGCGCAAGAGGUUUCCAAAUCCCAUCUGACCAGAACAACGACGCCAACGACAACGACCAUGAAAGGAGGAACAAAACUGAUAUGUGGGCUGCUGCUGGUGCUGCUCUGCGUGUCCGCCCGCCUCAAGGGUGGCUCCUGCGCCGGCGGUUUCGGCGUCGGAGGGGGCUUUGGCAUUGGUUUUGGUGCAGGGUACGGCCGGCCGGCUCCGGUCAUGGAGCCGGAGCCUGCCGGCGGGCCCGGGGCGGCCGCCGUCGUGGGCGGAGGCGCUACCGACGGCGGCACUACUGCGGUGGCUGCCGCGGGUGACGCUCGUGUCCGCGGUGGCGUCUAGAGAGCGUCCGGUGGCGCCGCUGCCCUUGCAGUCGCCGCGCUUGUCUGGCGCUAGCUGAUGGUGUGCGUGCGUGCGCCAAGCCAAGAUCGAUCUAUGUUCUACGGUAGACCAGUGAAUUUAGGAGUAGUUUUGUGGAUCGGUGGCUGCAUGUGUAAAUAUUACUCGAUCUUAGUCUAGAGCGGAGUUUUGAUCAGGAAUUCAGGUGCAGGGGUGGGCAUGAAAACUGAGAAACUGAAACGGAAACGGAAGCCGAUUGGACCGAAAUCGAAGAACCGUUUAAAACUUCGGUCAGCAAAAUCAAAGAACCGAAGUUUGUUCGGUUAAUUGGGUCUCUUGCCUCGGUUAAACAAAAAAACCCGAAGAACCGAAAUUCAUUGCUGCAUCUUUAAAAUUUAAUGUUGUCAUUGCAUGUUAGAUGAUAUUUACUGGCUGCUGCCAUUGCGUGUGUCUGUGUCACACAAGAUUAUGUGUUUAUUUUUGCGUGUAAUUUAAAUCUAUUUUCUGUUCUAAGUGGAAGAUUGAACUAAAUUUGUUUUCAUUUUUUGUUUGCCGUAAACACAAUGUUCGGUUAGUUCGGUUCCGAAUCGAAUUUUCUGUGAACCGAACUUUCGGUUAUCAAAAUUUUCAAGAUGACUUCGGUCCUCAUAUCAGAAGAACCGAAUUUCAUGAAAACCCGAAGAACCGAACCGAAAUUUCGGUUAUAACCGAACGCCCACCCCGAUUCAGGAGUAGUCUGUCCCAGCCUUUUGAUUUCUUUUAGAAAAGUCUGGCUUCAUUGAUUUUUGUUCUUCGACAACAUUUGGUACUGAGGUCUGGAUUACGAUAAUCCAGCUUUACCAACCAAUUUCUUUUUGGCUAUUUUCUAUUUGUCUGAUCAAUUCUUUCAUGUUUUUAUUUGCAUUUUUCACAGCAAGUUAUAAUUCAGCACAACACAAUUUAGCAAAGUCAAACUAAUGCUUAAUCAAGAAACAUAGCAUAGGAAAACUGAAACAAAAAACAAGAAACUAAUUGCUAGAUCUCUCUCCAUGUCACUUGUGAUGAAACUAUAAACGACCAGACCUGGACAAGUAAACUAACUUCGUAAGUUUCUAAUAACCACAUAAGAGCAACUCUAGCAGAUACCCAUAUGGCCGAUCCGAACUCCAUAUUAGGUUUUGGGCCAAAAAUCAGCACGGAACAGAUCCUCGAAAAAGGCCCGGACCGCAAAACGUGUUUCGGUUUACCCCAAAAACCAGCCCAGGGGCCGCCUAUAUGCCUACUCGAGAGGCGUACUCGAUGUCCACACCCCACUCUCUCGCCGCCCAAAUUCGCCACCAAACCCUACCCCGCCGCCAAAUCCGCUGCCCUUUCUCCUUCUUCUCCAACUCCAGCAACCUAGAUCCCGUCCCUUCCACCGCAAUGGUUAUAGAUAGCCAACUGGCCGGCCUGGCUCCGACCCAGUAUAUGCUAAACGUGAUUGGCCCGGGCACGGCCCGAUGAAGCCCUGGAAUAGAGAGGGGCCAGCCCGGCCCCUUAAUACGUCCUUCUGGCCCAGGCGCGGCACAAAGCUCCGUCGGGCCGGGCCGGGCCCGUUAAGGCCUGGCAGGGCCUGAGGAAGCCCAUCUCUGCAUAAGGCCCAUCUAAGAAAAUAAAUAAAUAAAGGGCUAGAAUGGGCCAAAAUUGUUGGGCUGGACCGGAAUUUUGAGGAUACAUGGGCCAAAUGUAGGAAAACUAUAAAAAAAAACAGGUCGUGAGGAUGAAGCCCAGGCUCGGCACAGGCGGGGCCUCAGGCCGGCCCGACCCAAUUAGUUUUGUGCCGGGCUUGGCACAAUCGGACCAAGCCCGCCAGGCUUUCGAGCUUUGCCAAAAGGCCCAUCCCGUUGGCCAUCUAUAGCAAUGAUGCACCCCAUAGCAUCCCGGGGGUCCGCUGGUCACCGUACCGCUUCUCCGCGCGGGCAGGAAAACCCUAGCGGCUGCUGCGGCGGAGGGGACGACUAUGAGGCGGUGCACCAUCGUUCCAUCAGGGUAGGGCGGCAUGCCGCCUGCAAAUGGGAUAAGCACCGCUUUACGAACCGUGAUGCUGAGCGCCGGUACUAGCAAUAUCUGGCGGAGGAAGCUGCGCGGGCGGCGGGGACUUGGGCCGGCCCCCGUGGCGGGGGCACGCCGCGUCAGGGGGAGGCCGAGUCCUCUCGUGCGGCCGUGCACCACCGCGCAUUUUCGCCCACUCGUCAAAGACGAGGAGGAUCUUCUCGUGCAAAGCUUUUUAAAAAAAAUUCAGUUCUUAGUUCGGUUUCUGUUCUGCACGACGUAUUUCUGAACUGCAUUUUCGGAUUCAGUUGAUCCGAACUCCCCUAGUUCGGAUCGGCCACAUGGGGUAUGUGUUAGAGUUGCUCUAAGUCGCUUGCCCCAAAAGAUGAGAACCUAUGAUCGUUGAACUUGCUGGAGACACACCGUUUGCAAGACAAGUUUGUAGAUUGUUGUUUCGUAGCCGAACCGACAAGGAAGAUAACCAAAAUAACGAAAGUAAAAAAACCUGGGGAUCCAACGUAUUGACUAGCCAGCAUGCCGAUAGAGCCAUGGGACCAUUAUUUCAUAUACCAUUGCCUCCACCACUAGGACGCUAUCGCGAGGACACAAUACCUCAUAAAAAAAUUAAACAGAUUAUUUGUCACACCUUGAUCCCUGGUUACUCUCAUUUUCCGAUUUCUAAUCGAUGGUUGACCACAAGGGAAGCCGACAAAAACCACAACUUCAACGAGGUUCUUUCCGGUGGCUAGGGUACGUUCCUCACGCCAUAAUCUCACAGCAAAGACUUGCUACGUGGCCUACGUAAUAUGUCUAAUGAAUCACUAAAAUUGAAUGGCUUGCUAAAAUCCUAGAUGAAACAUGAUAGCUAGUCUUUCAGCUAUUUUUCUUAAGAAAUGUCUAUUUCUCAGUCGCCUAAAAAUAGUUAUUUCCCGAUCAACAAUCAUGGCCAUUCAAUUAAUAUUUUCUUAUUAUUGGACCUACAUUAAUCUUACACGAAUCACACUGACUGAAUCAAAAUGUUGUUAUCAUCGACUAAGAAAUACUCCCUCCGUUACAUGAUUCUUGUCUCAAAUUUGCAAAAAAUAGAUGUAUCUAUUUUAAAAAAACGUCUAUAUACAUGUAAUAUUUCAACAACAAUUAUGAAACGGAAGGAGUAGUUAUUUCUCAGUCGCCUAAGAAAUAGAAAAACCGUUUUUCUUACUUCCAUUAGUAUUUGAAAUGGAAAGAUGGUUUCAAGCCGAUCAAUUUCUUUGAUCUUCUGUCCAGGUAGAGAUUUUUCAACGAAAAUUUACUUCAGAACGAUAAGCCUGACGCACGGAUACGUGUUCAAACUUUCUUUGGCGUAGAAUAUGCGAAGUUUGAACAAUUUGACUUCUCCGCACCGACAUAUCCGUGGCAGCAGAUCAGUUAUUGCCAACCACGAUCAGGCUAGCUCCCAACGUGCCGGCCGGAGACCCCGGAGCAAGUUACAGGCUUGCCGCUUGCCGUUGCAGAGCAGCCCCAAGCCCCCAACGACCCUCAAACCGCCUCCGCAUUGGGGCUAUCCAUCUGACCUGCGCCGCGAGGACGACGAAGGCGACCCAGGCAGGGAGACGACCAUGAGAGCAUCUUCAACUACGUACAGUAGACAUGCAUUCAGUAAUUUCAAGAAGGACCAUAUAUACUAUAGUACUCAUGAAUUAUUGUCAAGUAGAAAAAGAGAGAAAGUAGAAAAAAUGGUUUGCUUAUGGCAUGGCAUACAUCAGACCUGGAUUUGAGCCAACAUAAUCGAUUCUUGGAUGGUCGUUUCCAUAUACUCUGUUUAAUACUCCUGAACAUGGGGCUUGUAUUCUGCAGUUCACCUGCAAAUAAGGGUAUCCCAUACGUCCAGAACAAAAAGUGAUGCUAAGACUGAAAAAACACUUGUCAUAAUGGCUUCCAAAAUAUGACUCAUUCGGUCUUUACACAGGUUGUAGAAUUGAUUUACUUCUCUUCAAUUGUUGGCACUAGCAUUGACAGACUAUGCCUCUCCAAACACAGACAUAAUCCUUGUGAAGCCCAGUACGAACGCUAAGUAUUGAUAAAUCAAGAGGUGAUACAUAAUUAUGAGCAUGUACAAUACAACACCAUUAGCCAGACAAACAAUUGUAAAAAUUAAUCAAAAUUGGACAAAGAGAUUAUGCAUUCUUGUAGAUCCAUCAAACAAGCCCCAGCCUAAAGCAUUCACAUCCAGCACUAGAGGCACGGAAGCAACAUCAUAAUUCCUACGUCCCCUGCACUAUCUAAUUGACAGAUUGCAGUACCAAAUCAGAUAGAAUUUUGUACCGUUAGAAAUGCGCAUACCCGGCGCUCGGCGGGCAUAGAAAGCGGCUGGGAGCCGGAGGCACAGCUAGACGCCUCGGAGGAGCUGGAGGCGGAGGCGCAGCAAGCUUGCGAGCUGCACACCUCGGGCAAGCUGGCGAGCUGCGUCUGGGCUGGGGUGAAGGCGAAGCUUGUCGACGAGCUACACAUCUUGGGCGAGCUGGUGGCGGAAGCGCGGCAAGCCGGUGAGCUGAGUCCUAGUUGGGGGCGGAGGCGCAGCUUGUUGAAGAGCUGCACGUCUUGGGCGAGCUGGGGGCGGAGGCGCGGCAAGCCGGCGAGCUGAGUCCUAGUUGGGGGCGGAGGCGCAGCAAACCGGCGACUUCGAAGUGACUGAGUGAGUACUACAAAAAUGCUCGCACGAAUUAAACACCUGUUUAGGCUUCUCAGCAUUGAAGUAAAUUUAUUUUAGAUAGGUGCUUAGUGAUAUGGCAAGAUUCUCUCUCUUUAAGCACCUGUAUACGAGCACCUUGCAUUGCAUUGUAGAUGCUCCGAGAGAUGGGACGAAUUUCCUCGGCGCGCUGCUGCUGUUGAUUCUGCUUUGCGUGCCGCGCGCUUCCAAGGCGCCUGCUCCGCCCGAGGUGGAGGCGGAGGCGGGGGAAGGGGAGGAGGAGGGGGCGCGUUUUCCGGUGGAGGUGGGCGAGGGGGAGGCGACGCCAUUGCCGGCGGAGGGGGCGGCAGAGCUCGGAAGGGAGCCGGCGGUGCCAGUGCCGGUGGAGGGGGCGCGGGCGGCGGGAGGAGCACCGGCGGGUCGGGGAGCCAAGCGAAAGGAUCCACCGCCGGCGGGGCCGCCAUCGUGGGUGGCAACACUGCCGGCCUGCCGGGGGAUCACAAGGAGGACACUACGGCGCGGGAUCGCAACGAAGCAGCGGCGCCGCCUUGGGUGGCCCUCCGCAUGGCCGUAGCGUCUGGAUGGUAUCCGAAGGCGCCGUCGCUGCUCUUGCGGCCGCCGCGCUCGUGUGGCGCUGAUCGUCGAGUAGCCUGCGAAUCUGCGAUGCAUCAAGAAUUCAAGAGUCGAGAGUCGAGACUACUCUAAAAACCCUUCAUUUUCUGUUUAUCGACGUAUAUGAUGCGUAAGCACGUUCAACAUAAAAAUCAAUCGAGCCAUUGGUUGUACACCAUUGCUUCUUCCUGUUUGUAAUUAGUGUUCUUGUUAUUCUUUUUGGUGUAAGCCCUCGUCUGUUUUUAACGAAUGACGCGUAAGCAUGCAUGUUUCACAUAAAAACUUACCGUUUGUAAUUACUAGAAACUUACUGUUUGUAAUUAGUGUUCUUGUUAUUCUUUUUGGUGUAUAGGUAGUGCUCCUGCGAACACUGCUCGGAGUGUGACGUACCGGCUGGAGCAACUGCAGCCAUUGUGUUUUUUAGGUGAACAGAGCCAUUGUGUGUCUCUCGAUUGACUCGAUGGUUUCCGUGUACUUCACCUUCUGUCCAGGUUAACACAUCGGAUGACUGAGGAUGCGCGAUGGUACUCCCUCCGUUCAUAAAUAACUUGUUGCUGCGAACUGACCGGUGUUAUGUUUUCUUGUGGUGGAACCAGUCCACUCAGGUUCAAGUCACAUGGGUGUUCGCAUUUCCCUAGAUUUAUUUCAGAACCUAACCGGUGUUGUGUUUUCAGUGGGAGUGACGUACGGCACAUCAGUCUCUCGGAGGGUGCUCAUAGGGGUAGGGUGUGUGAGCGUCUGCGUCCAGUGGGAGUGACGUACGGCACAUCAGUCUCUCGGAGGGUGCUCAUAGGGGUAGGGUGUGUGAGCGUCUGCGUCUGUACUGUGUUUUCUAAAAAAAAAAAACUUAUUGCUGUUUUAUUUCAAGUUUGCACUAAAACAGCGACAAGUAUUUAGGAACGGAGUGAUUACUAUAUAAUGAUGUCUGCACACUGCACUUGCAUUCUGUAAUGCUACCUGUUUGCUAAACCCGACAGAGAUUGUGGAGGCUAGCAAUCAAGAUGUAUAAGUUGGGUGUAGCACUUGUCCCGUUCUCCGUGGUUUACACCCCAGAUGCAAUUGUUCCUCUCUUCAUGUCCCUUCCUCGCAUAAUUAGUGAUCCCAACAACGUUCCAUGUGUCGUAUUGUCUGGUGGAGCAAGGGAAACAAAUGCAUAUGUAACUAAUCAAAAGAUUACACUGACAGCUUGUUUGGCAACCAAGAAUUCAUUUCAUUUGAUCAAAAUGAAAUGAAAUCUAAUUUUUGAUAGGGUUUCAUUUGGUUGAAUUUGAAUUCUGGGUUGAAAAAUCAUGUUUGUCUACCACAUGAAAUUAAAGAGUGAGAGACAAUUCUAGAGAAAUGAUGGCUUUUAGAAAAGAAUUAAGGCUAGUUACACUGUGAUUAUAUGAAAUUUGAGAUUGAAUUUCUGUAACUAAUUCCGUGCCAACCAAACAAGUUGUUUUUAAAAUUUAAAAUGAAUUCUACAAUUUUAUGACUAAAUGAUGUGCGUCAAACAAGCUGUGAAAGAGUUUGCUAUAGAUUAAUGGAGACCCAAACUUUCUUAUAGCGAUUAAUGCAUGGCUGCUCCUGCUGCCAUAUCCAUGGGCGCCAUAGUCGUAGCAACUUCCACAGGAUCCGGCGCUCCUGCCUUCUGACCACUGGGACCACAUGAUAGGUUGGAUCUGCUGUAGCUAUCCACUUUUCAGGGGUCUGGCCUCUCUCCCGAUGGCAACUGUUCGAGGUAAUCUUAUUACUCUUAGAAUUAGAGACAGUAGAGUAGUUCAGUCCGGCAUGAACCAUUGUCCGUACUACUCCGGUUGAGUCAGUGAUGAAGCAUUGUCUAAAAAAUAUUAUCACCAGAAAAGGGCUAUCUCAAAACAAGGAACAGUUUUGUUUUGUGGGUACAGCUAGCCGACUCGCCAGGCGGAUAACAAUGAAGGGUAGCCAGCGGAUCCUUCCUUUAGUCAGGAAGAAACGAAGGACGACCAUCCAUCGACCAAUAGAGGCAAGGCACGUACAUGCAUCCAUGUGUACGGAAGAAGUGAUAACCUGAAGCACAUCGCUGACGAAGCUUAUAAUAAUCUUGCUUGCUUGCGCACCUAAACACAUACCAGCUGGGUAUAGUAGCUGGCAUAUUCUCAUACAGUAUUAUGCACGGAUCACUGACGACGUUUCCAUCGUUGAACUGGUAACCAUUUCUCAUUACUUGCACGCAAUCCAGGAAUGCAGGAUAUACUGAAUAUAGUCUGCAGCUACAGCCUACAGGAGACUAUCACAAAGUUCUAAAUUAGGCGACUUAAUUAGUGGAAACAACUCUUGGAUGGAAUCCACAUUGUUGUCGCUACUAGUGCAGGGGUUAACUGGCUAAGGUUGUUUGUUUCAGUAGCGUGUAAGUAAGGGACAUGGAGGCAGCUAUAUACCUUUUUAAAAGGGCAUGCAGCUAUAUUCUAGGUCCACGUUGUUGUUCUUUGACAGGACUAGCUCCACGUUGUUGAGAACCUGAAUCCUCGUUGCCUCCCUUGCUUUUGUUUUCCUCAUUUUUACUAAUUAUUCGGCUUGUACAGCCUGGCAUGUACAAAGGUACAGACAUCCAGCCAUCUAUAGUGUUUUACAUGAUUUACAGACAAUUUUACAGAUAUCAUAUACAGUAGUCUGUCUAUACGCUGUCUAAAAAGUCUGUACUAAAAAUUAUAGGCAACAGACAUACAAUGAUAAAUAAUCUGUUUAUAAAUUGUCAAUUAGAUUAUCUGUACAACUAAAGACAGACUGCUAUAUUUUCUCAAUCUCUUUCCUCCACCUCAGCAAAAGUACCUCUUAUAGACACCUAAAUCAGCCCCAUUGUACAUGCCCUAUCAAAUAGCUUUUCCUUUCCUUUCUCCUACAUGCCUAUUUUCCAUACUCUUUUUGAAGCAUGUAACAUUUUAAUGAAAAUGCAGAGCACUUGCUUGUCCGUUGAUGAGGGGCUACCUCGGCAAUACCCUGACUCAAGGGUUUUCGACUGAGGGAGAGCACGGGGUGCACCAGCGAUCUCGUCGACUAACAAAGACUAGGGGAGUCGCAAGGUUUACCCAGGUUCGGGGUCCUCGGAAGGUAAUACCCCUACGUCCUGCUUUUGGUGUAUUGUAUUGAUCGAGAUUACAGAGAAGCUAUGAAGCUAUGGUGCGCAGAUGAAUCUGGCGUUUGUCUAGAGGUUGGCCAUUCCCGAUCCCCCCUCCUAGCCUUAUAUACUGGCGGCUAGGUCUCGGGCGUGAUAAUCGGGAAUGUUACAAUCAGAUCAAUUCAUUACGGUAUGAUAAGAUUAUGUUUCUUGGCUUGAACCGCACUUUGAGGGACUCGACCUGCAUAUGCUUGAUGGGCCUUCGAGUGGGCCCCCUGUUGGGCUGCAUCGGGUAUAUGAAGGUUGAGAACUCGAGUCCCUGUUCGAGGCGUAGACUCGAGUAGGGACUCAAGAGUUUCCUUAUUCUGAUUAUUCGACUGUGUGCCAAACUGCAAAUAAUCUUCCGUUGGUCGAUUGACUUAAGUGUUCGUCAGGCCCAAACUUUGAUAGUUCUUAGCUUAUGACGCGGAAAACACAAGGUAUUUCUGCAAAUUGUACUGAUGUUGUGUGGGAUGGUUGCGUAACGCGCCUGGAAUACUCGAUCGGUCGAGUCCAGUUAAUUGCACCGGGGCAAAAACUUUGUUAGCAUACAUCAGCACUCGAGUCCCUAGGCUCGAGCCUGGAUAACUGGCGGUGUUCGAGUCAAACCUGCCGAGGGUUUUACAGACUCGAAAUCCAGUGCUGCGGGGCGAUCAACCAACGCGUCCGUUGGUUGAUGUUCUUCAUGCAAGCGCGUGGAUGAUCUGGAAUCGCCUGAAGGUGCUGAUUUCCAGGCCCGAUGAAAAACCAUCGGGUCUUACCUUCACGUAAUGAACGUGGCUUAGGGUGUGUUUCGCAGUCCGUGCGACCCGGAUAAUGCUGUCGAGUGCCUAUGUACCAGGUACACUUCGAGUUCCUGCGCCGUCAGGUGGCAGCCCAAGUUUUCUAGAGUUUGAUAUGACGUCUUUGCUGACACUCUGAUUAAAGAAAUGGUCUGGGAAGUCGAUGGGACGUACCUAAUGCUUUAUGCACGGACUGGAUCGAGUACUGUUGAUGUGGUCAGUUUGAUUUGACCACACGAUGUGCGCGAGAAUUUAGGCGCAUUGAUAGCUGUCGUGGGUUCUUGAACCGGUGGAAGGGGAAACGGCUCAUUUCUACUGGGACCACGCGUCUCUUUUCUUUAUGGCACAGAAGGAGGUGAGAUUAGGUUCCCCUUUUUUUUUUGCAUUUCUUAAUUUUGUAUUCUGCAUAUUACAACGAAUAUUUUUUUAUUCUUGCUUAUCUUACUUUUCCAAUUGUGCUAAGUCAUGCGCGCGAUACAAAGUUCGUGGUAGAGAACUUCUUUGAGUCAUCCUAUUUUUCUGUUCAUAUGAGGGAAAUUCAUAUGUGAUUUUCCAAAUAAGGGAAUCCAAAUGAAACCCUUUUUUUGCUCAGUCUAUCUGGACUACUUUUGUAUAAUAGGAAUUAAUUCGAAAUAGGUAUUCCGUUUCAUCUAGGAACAGAACGUAAAAAUUUUCCUUUACUUGAAUAAAAUCUGGAGUUGUGUUGUAUAAGUCCGCAUGAAUUUCUUAUCAUUCAAUGAGCAUCUUGUAUUUCAUAGAAAUUGGGGGUUAUAUAGUCCUUACGUAAGGGCCAGCCUACCCAACUUUCAGGCAUUAGGAUACGUUUAAGGCGCGGAUGAUUAUCAUAAGAGAUUCCCACCAUAUCAUAAGAUUCGCGUUCUUGAAAAUCGGCACUUCUCCAAAUCCAGAAGACAGACGGAAUUCUAGGAUUAUCCUUUUGGGCAAAGACUUUUAUGCAUACUUCUUCCGGGUUAUCUAUGCCAUACUGUAUUCACGUAAGAUGAUACACGCUAGCUAAAGAUCCACCGGGUGCUACAUCAUAAGCACAUUGGGAGAGUAAAUAAUUGUAACCAUAUACGUAUAAAAUGACAGCAAUGGAAUCCCAAUCCCCCGCUUUUAUUUGUAAAGUCUCUAUUCCUCGGUGAUCAAAGCCCAAAGAUCUAUGAACCACCUUAUGUUUGACUAGCCAAUUAGAUAACCAACCCUGCUGCAUUGUCUUGAUCUCUCCCUCUUUGUUUUGUAUAAAUAUUUCACAUUUCGGAUGCAAGUUUCAAAGAUUGCCUUGCUUUUUAUUUUUCUAGACGAAAGAACCCCCCUCCUAAUUCACUAAUUUGUAGGAAGGUACUAUACUUUUGGAUUUGUAAAUUUUUUCAGAAGAUAUAUCUAAAGUAGAUGGUGAUUGAUAGAGCAAUUCUUGCUCGUAAGUUCCAGUAUGAGUACUGCGCCGAACAUAAAGCUUGUGACUGGUAGUAAAACAUCGGUUUUUAUUUUGAGAUCGAAUUCGAUCCUCAACUAUUUCUCGCGAUAUCUUCUUACGAAGUUUUGUUAGGGCAUCUAUAACCGCCUCCGGUUUAGGUGGGCAACCCGGCAAGUAGACAUCCACAAGAAUUAACUUAUCAACUCCUCGAAUAGUACUAUAGGAAUCCGUACUGAACAUUCCCCCUGUAAUAGUACAAGCUCCCAUAGCAAUGACGUAUUUUGGUUCAGGCAUUUGCUCGUAUAACCUCACUAAAGAAGGAGCCAUUUUCAUUGUUACUGUACCAGCUGUUAAAAUUAGGUCCGCUUGCCUAGGACUUGAUCUUGGUACCAAUCCAUAACGAUCAAAGUCGAAUCGCGAGCCUAUUAAUGAAGCAAAUUCAAUGAAACAACAACUGGUACCGUAUAGAAGGGGCCAUAAACUGGAGAGUCUUGACCAAUUUGAAAGAUCGUUUGGUGUAGUUGAAAUAACAGAAUUGGAACUUGUUUGGUCAAGUAAAGGAAACUCAAUCAAACUCAUAACUGUCUCAAUGGAAUCUUUUUCUUCUUUUUUUUUUUCUAAAUAUUCAGUUAAGACAUUCCAAGGCUCCUUUUCGCCAUGCAUAAACUAAACCAACAACUAGGAUAAGCACGAAAAUGAAAGCUUCGAUAAAAACGGAUACACCCAAUACGUCGAAACUCAUUGCCCAAGGGUAGAGAAAGACGGUUUCCACAUCAAAAACAACAAAAACUAGCGCAAACAUGUAAUAGCGUAUUCGGAAUUGUAGCCAAGCCCCUCCCAUGGGUUCUAUACCCGAUUCAUAACUAGAAAGCUUUUCGGGUCCUUCACUAAUCGGGGCUAAAAGCCCUGAAAUCCAAAAUGCCAAAAUCGGAAUAAGGGUUGCUAUUAUUAGAAAUGUCCAAAAAAUAUCAUAUUCGUGAAGCAGAAACAUAAUGUACUCCCAUUAAUGUAGAAUAGACGAGACUUAAAUUAAUCAAUUCAAUUAUGCAUUGUCAAUUCAUCCAGAACUUAUCUCUUUUCCUCGGUGAAACAAGAAUCUGUUUUGUUCAAACAAAAUCGCUUAGUUUAGCCUUUGUUUUCUCUGUGCUGUGUCUUCUUUAAAGAUUCAUCCAAUGGAAUCCCAACUCCCCUUCUUUUUUCUCCAUUCUAUUUAGAUAUGGUCUAGAUCUAAUUCUUAUAUAAAAAAUACUUUAUCCCUUCACUUUAUUUUGCUUUCUCUAUAAUCUUUAGAACCUAAUUAACAUAAGAGGACUAGUCUAUGCAGUAGACUGAGAAGUAAUACUAUAAAAAAAUAAGGAACUCUAUUUCAGAACUAUGAGACAUAAUAUUCUGUUUUCUUAUUUACUCUUUACUUUAAUUCUUUCUAAAAAAAUUCUAUUUAGGAUUUUAAGUAGAUCGAUUUAGAUAAUGUAUAUAUAAGCAAAGUAAUAUACCUAAAACAAAGUAUAAAUUCGCAAGAUGGAGAAAAUCAUUGCAGUUUUAUAGGGAAGUCUAGAGAUACCCUAUUUGAAGAAGGGCGGGAUUCAAAUCAGGGAAGGGCUCUUUUCUUCUAUUGAUUUGAUAGAAAUCACUUUUUCGUUUCCUAUCUCUAUGAUUUUUGAUGAAUGAGCCUGUGGUAAUUCUUUUACGCCUAUUCUAUGUCGCAGGCGCCCGCCCAGUCUAUAAACAAGUACUAAUGUGAAAAUAAAAGCUAUACUAAGGAAAACAUAGGAUAUCUAUACUAAAAUCCAAAAAUAGGACAUAUUAGGGCUAUACGGAUUCGAACCGUAGACCUUCUCGGUAAAACAGAUCAAACAGAUUAUUAUCGAAAUGAUUCGAACUGUUUCAAAGACCCAAGAUGCAUUUUUUUUGCAUUGGGCUCUUUCAUCAACUGAUUUAAAGAUCAGUUAGUCCACCAUAGUUUUCUUUACGGAAAGAUAAUGAGAUGGCUCCCUGUGCUCUGAUUGAUUAUUUGUAUUAUGGUCUAUCUAGGAGCAAUACCAAAGUGUUUCAAAGGAGGAUUACCUUGACUUAGGUCUGCCUCCGGCCUAAAUUAAAUCAACCUAAGUGAAAUGGAGUCUCUAUCGUUCCACUGCAAGAGUUAACUAUGAGACUUCAUACACCUUAAAGUUCAUAGAACGAAAAGAAGUUUUUUGGAGGCCCUUAUCCUCAUUACGCCUAGCAUUUAGUGGGCUGGAUAUUUACCUUAUCAACUAGCAAAUCCAUAAGGGUUCUAUUUGAUUAGGCACCAGAAUGGGGACCUGAAUCGGACUGAACUGACUCUUUGUCAGGCUACUGUUCUCCUAUUCUGUCGAAUCUAUGAAGUAAGACAUUGAUUUUGCAAUAAGAUCCAUUAUAUUCAUUGCAUAAUAAGCUCCUUUGAAAAGCAUUGGCGCACGUGUAAACGAGUUGCUCUACCGAACUGAGCUAUAGCCCUUAUCAGAGAUAUCUUAACAUAUAGAUAAUUUAUUGUCAAGAUGAAUAUUCUCUAAUGCCAGAGGGUAUCUCUUUAAAUAUGUAUCUGUUUAGUAUAUAACAUACCAAUAAGGAAGCGUUAUUGCUUAGAAAAGGGAUUCGAUAUAUAAUCGAUCGAAGUAAUGGGUCUUCCUUUGUGAUCAUAAAUUGACUACUUAACUCAGUGGUUAGAGUAUUGCUUUCAUACGGCGGGAGUCAUUGGUUCAAAUCCAAUAGUAGGUAGGUAGGUAGAAAAAUUACUAGAUAGCAUUGGGCUUAUUUUGCUUCGCUAUCUAAUAACUUUUUCUACCCCUCUUCCCUUUAUCUUUGUAUCAACUAUAAACCAUUGGAUUGUCUUCAAUUGGACGGGGGAAUCCAAUUGACAGCCUUGAUUCGUAUCCUAGCUCGUCUGAGAGCUAGUUUCGCUUCAACCAAUUCUUUCGUACCCUCAGCUUUACUCAAGUUAUUUUCGGCUAUUUUAAGUGCCUGUUGAGCUUCUUCCGAAUCAAUAUCACUACCCAGUUCCGCAUCAUUUCCUAAAAUAAUGAUCUCAUUAUUAACUAUUCUCGCAAAACCACUCCACAGAACCGCCGUUAACCAUUGGUCGUUGAGGAGGCGUAUUCUCAAAGGACCCAUAUCUACUGCUGUGUUAAUGGGGGCAUGGUUUGGUAAUACCCCAAUUUGACCACUAUUAGUGGAUAAAAUGAUUUCUUUCACUUCACAAUCCCAAAUAAUUCGCUUAGGAGUCAGUACAUAAAGAUUUAAUUUCAUUUCUUCGAUUUGUUCUCCUCUUCUAAGGUUAUAGCUUUCGUGCUAGCUUCAUCGAUGUUACCCACCAAAUAAAAAGCCUGCUCGGGUAGGCCAUCUAAUUCUCCGGAAAGGAUUAGUUGAAAUCCCCUAAUUGUUUCUGCAAGACCAACAUACCUUCCUGCAGAACCAGUAAAAACUUCUGCUACAAAGAACGGUUGUGAUAAGAAACACUCAAUUUUUCGCGCUCUUGCUACAGUUAAACGAUCCUCCUCCGAUAAUUCAUCCAAUCCAAGAAUUGCGAUGAUGUCCUGAAGUUCCUUGUAACGUUGUAAAGUUUCCUUAACUCUUUGCGCAGUUUCAUAAUGUUCGUUGCCAACGAUCCGAGGCUGUAACAUAGUUGAGGUUGAAUCUAAAGGAUCUACUGCUGGAUAAAUACCCUUGGAAGCUAAUCCUCUGGAAAGUACGGUAGUAGCAUCCAAAUGGGCAAAUGUUGUGGCAGGAGCAGGGUCAGUCAAAUCGUCCGCAGGUACAUAAACCGCUUGGAUCGAAGUUAUAGAUCGCUUUUUAGUAGAAGCAAUUCUUUCUUGCAAAGAACCCAUUUCUGUACUAAGAGUAGGUUGAUAACCCACCGCGGAGGGCAUUCUCCCUAAUAAAGCGGAUACCUCCGAUCCUGCUUGAACAAAACGAAAGAUAUUAUCGAUGAAUAAAAGCACGUCUUGCUUAUUAACAUCUCGGAAAUAUUCCGCCAUAGUUAGGGCAGUUAAACCAACUCUCAUACGAGCUCCCGGUGGUUCAUUCAUUUGGCCAUAGACUAGAGCUACCUUUGAUUCCUCAAUAUUUUCAUUAAUUACUCCGGAUUCCCUCAUUUCCAUAUAAAGAUCAUUUCCUUCACGAGUCCGUUCCCCUACUCCACCAAAUACGGAUACACCCCCAUGAGCUUUAGCAAUGUUGUUGAUUAAUUCCAUGAUGAGUACUGUUUUACCUACUCCAGCCCCCCCAAAUAGUCCUAUUUUUCCUCCACGUCGAUAAGGAGCUAAAAGAUCAACGACCUUAAUACCUGUUUCAAAGAUGGAUAAUUUCGUAUCUAACUCGAUAAAGGCAGGCGCAGAUCUAUGAAUAGGGAACGUUGCACUACUGUCUACAGGACCCAAAUUGUCAACAGGCUCUCCAAGAACGUUGAAAAUUCGCCCGAGAGUAGCUCCGCUGACCGGAACACUGAGAGGAGCUCCUGUGUCAAUCACUUCCAUUCCUCUCAUCAACCCAUCUAUAGCACUCAUAGCUACAGCUCUAACUCGAUUAUUUCCUAAUAAUUGUUGUACCUCACAAGUCACAUUAAUUUGCUUAUCGGCAGUGUCUCUACUCUGGACUACCAAAGCAUUAUAAAUAUAAGGUAACUUACCGGGGGGAAAAGUGACGUCCAGCACGGGUCCAAUAAUUUGAUCGAUAUGGCCUGUACUUUUUUCUUCAAUUGGGGAAACCCCGGGACGAGAAGUAGUAGGAUUGGUUCUCAUAAUUAUCACAUAAUAAAAAAAAGGAAUUUGUCGAAAUUUUUCUUUUUUUCUUGUUGAAUAAUACCAAAUCCAAAAAAAUAUCCAAAAAUCCAAAAGUAAAAAGGAAAUCAAUUAGUUAAUUCAAUAAGAGAAAAAAGGGGAACAUGACUUGAUUUCGUUGCCCAAGCGAAUCCCUUUCAACCCUUUACUCAUGGAAUGAGGCCGUUGGAAAGUUCAAUCAAUCUUUUUUUCAUAAGAUAGAUUUUUCCUUUUGUGGAGGAUCUGUGCCUACUCUACUUUCCUAUCUAGGACUUCGCUAUACAAAAUAUAUACUACUGUGAAGCAUAGAUUGCUGUCAACAGAAAAUUUUCUUAGUAUUUAGUUAGGUAUUUCUUUUCAAAAUAAGAAAGGGGCCCUUUAAUAAUUUGUAAAAAACAAAGGUUAAGGAUUGAUUUGGGUUGCGCUCUAUCUAUCAAAGAGUAUACAAUAAUGAUGGAUUUGUUAAAUCAAAUCCUUGGUUUAAUAACGAACGGUGUUAACUUACCAUAACAACAACUCAAUUCCUAUAGUGAAAUUCCUAUAGGAUAGAACAUACACAGGGUGUACGCAUUAUAUAUGAAUGAAAAAUAUUAAUGAACUUAAGCAUGCCCUCAAUUUUCUGUAAUGAGUUGCUAUUAAUUGAAUAUCUCUUUUUUUUAUGAGAUUUUUGCUAAAGUUUCAUUUACGCCUAAUUCACAUCGAGUAGACCUUGUUAUUGUGAGAAUUCUUAAUUCAAGAGUUGUAAGGAGGGACUUAUGUCACCACAAACAGAAACUAAAGCAAGUGUUGGAUUUAAAGCUGGUGUUAAAGAUUAUAGAUUGACUUACUACACCCCGGAGUAUGAAACCAAGGAUACUGAUAUCUUGGCAGCAUUCCGAGUAUCUCCUCAACCUGGGGUUCCGCCCGAAGAAGCAGGGGCUGCGGUAGCUGCCGAAUCUUCUACUGGUACAUGGACAACUGUUUGGACUGAUGGACUUACUAGUCUUGAUCGUUACAAAGGACGAUGCUAUCACAUCGAGCCUGUUCCUGGGGAAGACAGUCAAUGGAUCUGUUAUGUAGCUUAUCCAUUAGAUCUAUUUGAAGAGGGUUCCGUUACUAACAUGUUUACUACCAUUGUAGGUAACGUAUUUGGUCUCAAAGCCCUACGUGCUCUACGUCUGGAGGAUCUAUGAAUUCCCCCUACUUAUUCAAAAACUUUCCAAGGCCCGCCUCACGGUAUCCAAGUGGAAAGAGAUGAGUUGAACAAGUAUGGUCGUCCUUUAUUGGGAUGUACUAUUAAGCCAAAAUUGGGAUUAUCUGCAAAAAAUUACAGUAGAGCAU